rnacentral:rRNA from 1 species
GAUGAACGCUGGCGGCGUGCCUAAUACAUGCAAGUCGAGCGAACGGACGAGAAGCUUGCUUCUCUGAUGUUAGCGGCGGACGGGUGAGUAACACGUGGAUAACCUACCUAUAAGACUGGGAUAACUUCGGGAAACCAUAGCUAAUACCGGAUAAUAUUUUGAACCGCAUGGUUCAAAAGUGAAAGACGGUCUUGCUUUCCCUUAUAGAUGGAUCCGCGCUGCAUUAGCUAGUUGGUAAGGUAACGGCUUACCAAGGCAACGAUGCAUAGCCGACCUGAGAGGGUGAUCGGCCACACUGGAACUGAGACACGGUCCAGACUCCUACGGGAGGCAGCAGUAGGGAAUCUUCCGCAAUGGGCGAAAGCCUGACGGAGCAACGCCGCGUGAGUGAUGAAGGUCUUCGGAUCGUAAAACUCUGUUAUUAGGGAAGAACAUAUGUGUAAGUAACUGUGCACAUCUUGACGGUACCUAAUCAGAAAGCCACGGCUAACUACGUG